AGCGAACGCUGGCGGCAUGCCUAACACAUGCAAGUCGAACGAGACCUUCGGGUCUAGUGGCGCACGGGUGCGUAACGCGUGGGAAUCUGCCCUUAGGUUCGGAAUAACUCAGGGAAACUUGAGCUAAUACCGGAUAAUGACUUCGGUCCAAAGAUUUAUCGCCUAGGGAUGAGCCCGCGUAGGAUUAGCUAGUUGGUGAGGUAAAAGCUCACCAAGGCGACGAUCCUUAGCNGGUCUGAGA
rnacentral:rRNA from 1 species